rnacentral:lncRNA from 1 species
AAGUAGUUCCCAAAAUCUAUGCAUAUGACAGAGAAGAAUUAGAUGGCCUUUGAGAGACCCAGAAGAAAAUGCAAAAAGGAAUAGGGAAAAAAAGGGCAAAGCAACCUGCUGUGAGCCUCCUAAUCUUCCAGGGCCUGAAUUCCCAGCGCUUGAGGAACAAGCCCUGUGAAAAACAAGCUGCUGUCCCUGCUAGAGGCAUCCUGCAAUCCAUGGAUGUUUAUCACCAAGCCAUUGUUAA